GCUUCCGUAGCUCAGUUGGUUAGAGCUUCGUACUAAUACUACAAACCUGUUAGUCUUGGUGAUGCGAAGGUCGCAGGUUCAAGCCCUGCCGGGAGCA